AAUUAAAAUUUUUCCCUAUUACUAUAUGCCAAUUUUUUUCAAUUAAUUUGUAACUUUUGUUAGUAAUAUGUAUGAUAUUCUCCCCACCACCACCAUUUUGCUGUAAGAAGUGGCUGCUGUCCACAGACUUCCUGACCCUCCCUAUGGGACCUGUGUCUGUGGGAGAAUAACAUUUCCUGUCUCAUUGACUCUUAUUUGUUACUAAUAAGUGAUUACAUUAAAAAGACCUUUGAGCCACAAAGGUGGUUUAUUAUUCAGCCUUGAGGCAAAAACUAAGGUAGGAUUGGCCCUCAAGGUCCUUUGUUAAAGACCUCGGUCAGUAAGGUGAAACCCUAACUCUGUCUGGGUUGAUUCAGGAAAAGAAGACCAAAGAUGGUUCUCCAAGGAAAAUCUAAUAAACUCUAGGUGACCAAAAAUAAGAGGAGGAAGACAGGAAAUUCACAACAAAAAUUCAUAAGAGAACAGGUUUUAGAUGGAGAUCUCUAGUGGACAUUUAUUGUCAAGUAAACAAUUGGCUUCAUGAGACUGAACUUGACUGAAGAGAUCCAAGUUGGAACAAGGACUCACCUGAAUAUAGAAGGGACAAAGUCUUGCUCUGUUGCCCAUGCUGGAGUGCAGUGGUGAAAACACGGCUCGGUGCAGCCUCCAUCUCCUCUCAAACAAUCGUCUCAUGUCAGUCAGCUGGAACCACAGGUGUGUCACCGCACGUGGCUAAUUUUUUGUUGUUCUUAUUAGAUACAAGGUUUGUCCAUAUUGCCAAGACUGGUUCCUGAGUUCCUGGGCUCAGGUGAUCCUUCUGCCUUGGCCACCCAUGGUGCUGGGAUUAC
rnacentral:lncRNA from 13 species